AACGAACGCUGGCGGCAGGCCUAACACAUGCAAGUCGAGCGCCCAGCAAUGGGAGCGGCAGACGGGUGAGUAACACGUGGGAACCUUCCCUAUAGUACGGAAUAGCCCAGGGAAACUUGGAGUAAUAAACCGCAUACGCCCGAGAGGGGAAAGAUUUAUCGCUAUAGGAUGGGCCCGCGUAGGAUUAGCUAGUUGGUGAGGUAAUGGCUCACCAAGGCGACGAUCCUUAGCUGGUCUGAGAGGACGACCAGCCACACUGGGACGUGAGACACGGCCCAGACUCCUACGGGAGGCAGCAGUGGGGAAGUAUUGG
rnacentral:rRNA from 1 species